rnacentral:rRNA from 1 species
AUUGAACGCUGGCGGCAUGCCUUACACACGCAAGUCGAACGGCAGCACGGGAGCAAUCCUGGUGGCGAGUGGCGAACGGGUGAGUAAUAUAUCGGAACGUGCCCGAUCGUGGGGGAUAACGUAGCGAAAGCUACGCUAAUACCGCAUACGAUCUGCGGAUGAAAGCGGGGGAUCGCAAGACCUCGCGCGGUCGGAGCGGCCGAUAUCAGAUUAGGUAGUUGGUGGGGUAAAGGCCUACCAAGCCGACGAUCUGUAGCUGGUCUGAGAGGACGACCAGCCCCACUUGGACUGCUACACGGCCCAGACUCCUACGGGAGGCAACAGUGGGGAAUUUUAGACAAUGAGCGCAAGCCUGAUCCAGCAAUGCCGGGUGCAGGGAGCAGGCCUUCGGGUUGUAAACUGCUUUUGUACGGAGCGAAAAGGCUCCCUCUAAUACAGGGGGCUCAUGACGGUACCGUAAGAAUAAGCACCGGCUAACUACGUGCCAGCCGCCGCGGUAACAC